CUGGAGUGCUAGGAUUAAAGGUGUGUGCUAUCACUGCCUAACUAGUGGCUUUUCUGUUCUCUGACCCCAGAUAAGUUUAUUAAGGUACACGAUAUUUUGGGGAACACAAUAUCACCACAGCAAACCUCGUGAAAGUAACGAGAAGGGGAUUGUUGUAACAGCAGUUUCUUUAUAAUGUAGGAAUGACUAGGUAGUAGGGUAUGAGAGAUUGGGGAGCAUAAACGUGAAAAGGCCUAGGUUGGUAUGAAUGAAGCAUUAAUGGUGAUUCUGGUGAAAACUCAAAACUAUAGAGACAGCAUGGGAUGUUUACAGUGAGUUAAGCAGUUUUGAUCAAUGGUAGAAAAGUGAGGUUUGGGGGCUCGCACCUGUAAUCCCAGCACUACCCCGCUAAUCUAGCACUCAUUUGGGAGGCACAAUCAAGAGGCCUGACUUGUAAUACAUAUCCACACCCUAUCUUAAAAAAGAAGAGGGAGGGGGGAAGGCAGGAAGGCAGGGCAGGCUGAUGGUGAAGGGCAUUCUAAUGAUCCCCAAUUGGAGUGGGGAUCAAAGCUUUAGAAGCUGGAGCACAGGCCAUCUUGGUUCUACAGAACUGUGCCUUCGGAGUGUGUGGAAGGCAAAGCUUCUCCAUAAAGAACAAUGAAGUAUGAUGUCUGGCAGAAUAAAUAUCUAAGCAGCCGCAAAGCCUUCAGAGGGCUGGCUGCACGGCUUCUUUUGGCUGAGAGACCAGAGAAAUGAUUUAACGAUGGAAUUUAUAAUUAAAGGGGAUGCAGAGCAGAAAGAUGGGGGAGAUUUGCAGCCUGGCAUGGUAAGAGUGAAAAAGCAUGCCCAGGAGAGAAUAAUAUGGGUAUAGCCAGUAACCCUUUGCUCAAGAGAUGAUGUGGAUUCCCUUGCUGAGGGUCAUCAGGGUAAUGGGACAGGGGCCUUAACUGUCUGAGAUCUUUGAGACAAGCCAGCACCCUGAAGACAAGGUUUCCAGAAAGGUGUCUGCUGCCCAGAGCCACCUUGGAAGGCUCCUGCAUUCUGGCGCAGCAUUCCUGGGCUACUCCUGGUAUGCCUCAAGCUGGACCCAGUUAGAUCAGAAGGGCGGAAGCGGUGAGCUUUGGAAGUAGCUGUGUGUGCUGACUCAGUGUACAAGCUGCGGGACCAGUGGUCAAAGAUAUGUUGGACAGUUAUGGCUUCAUGCAGGGACUUGUCACAGGGGCAGGGUUGCAGCAGAGAGCCCCGACUCGGGCAGUGCCUAAUGCAGGCCUGGGAAUAAGGGACGCUUAAAACUGUAGAGUCAUUGGUGUCCAGCCCUAUCCUGGGAAAGCUGAAUAAGCUGAUGCCAGCAGAGGCUGAGCAGUGGGUACCUGAUGCUUUGGGGGCCAAACAGUUUAGGGCAUCUAGGAGGUGGCAGGUGGCUAUUCUGGAGUUUUAAGAUUUAAAUGUUCACUGGGCGGUAGUGGCACAUGCCUUUAAUCCCAGCACUCUGGAGGCAGCGGCAGGCGGAUCUCUGUGAGUUCAAGGCCAGCCUGGGCUAUAGAGUGAGUUCCAGGACAGGUUACAGACAGUUGCUAACUGCCAUGUGGGUGCUGAGAAUUGAACUCGGGUCGUCUGGAAGAGCAGUCAGGGCUCUUCACCACUGAUCCAUGUCUCCAGCCCCCAGUCUUCACUUUUCAUAUCCUCACACAAGGCAGCUCCCUAGCCAGUGUCACAGGAAAUGGCAUUCUUAGCUGAGAGAGAGCUCCAGAAAAGAAUCAUGACAGGUCCUCCUGAGUUCAGUCCUCAGAAGAAAAAGAGGGAGAGAAAAACAGUCAAGUUCUUAUUAAUUACCCCUAGAAAGUGAAAUGGACACUCACUCCCAAGGAUGGAGCUGUAUACCCCUUUAAACUUGGGACUGCCGCUUCUCCCGCCUGGGUAUUCUGAACUCAGAACUGUGCGUGAAACAUACAGCAGAGCUCCCCGAAGAAGGGGUGUCUACUGUAUUAAAGACCCUCAGGCUGCUUGACCUUGGCUGACUAGAACACUGUGGCUGUGGAUUGACAGACACUCAGGGCCAAAAGUACUCCGAGCCUCUUAGGAUCCUUCAUAGCCAUUUACUUUCAACCUCUGUGUCUGGCCCGACAUCCUUGUGACCAGAUUAAGCUCUCAGUGUGUCACGAACCUUCGUGGACCUCUGGCUUCCGCCAGUCUCUUAAGCUCAGGAGAUUCUAACAUCUCACCCUGUAGAAAGGACUUCCUGCCUGGCAGGGGCUUCUCUACAGCUGUCUAGUGGUCUUGUGUAUCUGUUUAUCACCUUCCUCGUUCUGUGACUGGGGCUACCCUGGAACAUGUUGUUCAGAGAAGACCGAAUCUGUGUCCUGGACCAUGGUCACUCAUCUUUGGCUAAGAAUAAUAAGCUGUUUUCUUUUCCCCUUGAAUGCAAAGUCGUUGCUUUACAACUCUUGGAACAAAUGUAGUAGAGCCAAGCACUUGCACAGUCCUUUGGAGCCUCAGACUUGCUAUGUGGUAGAGGAUUACCUUGAACUUCUGACUCUUCUGCCUGUACCUCUCAAGUGCUGGGAUUAUGGUUGUGAGUUUUUGUACUGAUGGGGAGUCGAACUAGGGCCUUGUGUUUGCUACGUAAGUACUUUAUCACCCGAGGUACACCCAGAAACCUGUGUGCUGAUUAGUCUUAUGUCAGCUUGACACCAGAUAGAGGUGUUCCAAGACAGGCUCCAAAGCUGGGAGCACCUAAUAGGUGCAGUUUCUAGAUUAUAGAUGGAUGUUGGAUGGCCCAGCUCACUGUAGGUGGUGCCAGCCCUGGUCCUGUGGUUCUGGGUGCUAUAAGAAAGCAGGUUGAGCAAGCCACAAGGAGUAAGCCAGUAAGCAGCACCCUUCCAUGGCUUCUGAAUCAGUUCCUGCCUCCAGGUUCCUGUCCUGACUUCCUUUGAUGAUAGGAUGUGAUGUAGAAGUAUAAGCCAAAUAAACCCUUUCCUCUCCAGGUUGUGUUUGGUCAUGGUGCUUUAUCAGAGCAGAAGAAAGUAACCCCCCAGCUAAGACAACGGGUGUUACUUUGACAAAUGGCUGAUAGCUCACUUGGGAGAAAACCAAAUCCAUAACAACAGCCCAUGCCAAAGGAAACGGGUACACCACAGCCGUUAGAUGGGGUGAUUUGAGGAGCAGAAAGAAAGGCAAGAAAGAGGUUAGGAGUGUCAGGCAAAUGGCAGACUGCAGGCGGGGCUGAGAGCAGGGGCAGGCUGAGCAGAAGGGCACCAGGACUCCUUCUAACUGCGGUGGGGCUCGGGAGGGCGGAGUUAAGCUGGGGAGUGACAUGACCAGGAUCAUGUUCUUAAAAACUAACUUUCAGGAAAGGUACAACCAGAACUCUUAUACAGACACAAAAGCAAAGGUGUUAAAGAUUUUAUUUGGCUUACUUGGUAGCCUCAUGGGUUCAAAGGAAAUUAUACAUUCGUAUAGAAUAAAGGAAGGUUAACGAAUGUGUGGAUUCAUUUUCCAGGGGAAGCGGGCAAAGGAGGGAGCCUUUUCCGAUGCCCAACAGUUCUCUGAGCUUGAGAAGUUAAAAACAAAACAGCGAAAGACGUUGGGAGAGUACCGCCAGGGGACUACAAAAAUGAGUGUCAUUCCACGUGACAGUGUCCGGAUGAAACACAGUGUUUUGGUUUUUUUUCUGCAGUGUUUUUUAGAAAAACAAAAGAAGCAUUUUUAAGAUUAUUUUAGAUUCACAGGAGGUUGAAAAGAUGAUAUAAAGAAAUUCCAGGUACCUUUCAUCUAUUUUUUUUUUUUGCAAGGAGUACACCUUGUGUUCCUCCAGAUACGUACUUUGCAUGAAAUCUAUGUCCUUUUGAGGUUUUUCACCUAGCUUAAUAUCCUUGAGACCGACCCGUGUGUGUUGCAAGCAUCAGUUGUUGCGGGAUGUCUUUCUGUAUGCUGUGAAUAUGUGUUAUUCCCAUUGACUAAUAAAUAAAGCUGCAUUGACCUCUGGCAGGGCAGGAUGGAACCACGUGGGAAAAUCCAAGAGAGAGCGUGUAAGGAGAAACCAGAGUAAAGGGAGACGCCAAACCACCCCACCGUCCAAGGAGCAACAUGUAAUGGGAUGCCACCGAGCAUGUGGCGAUACAUAGAUGAAUAGAAAUGGGUUAUAAGAGCUAGCUAGUAAGAAGCCUGAGCCAUAGGCCAUACAGUUUGUAAAUAAUAUAAGUCUGUGUGUUUACUUGGAACCAAGCGGCUGUGGGACUUGGGUGGGAAAGAUUGAACCCCACCAUGGGGCCAGGUGGGGACCACAGAAACACAGGACCUCAGGCUGGGUAGGACCGGAGAAACUUCCAGCUACAAUCAAUAGUUUGUUCCUUUUCACGACUGAGUAGUAGUCUGUGGUGGGGAUGUACCACAGGCUUUUGGUCAGUCCUCUUUUGAGGGAUGUUACGGCUGUUAACAAUUUGGGGCGAUGACAUGUGCGCCCGCUCUGAACAAUCAAAGGUGUGGGGUUUUUGCGUGGAGGUAAAUUUUAUUCUCCGGGGCCAGGUGGCUGAGAGUGGGCUGUGGGUGUGCUUCACUGUGUCUUCUUACCUUUUACAGGAUCUGACUGGUGGGAGAGACAGUUCGUUUCCAAACCAGCAGCUUCGGGGUGACCGUGCUUCUGCCGGAUGUAGUGACACACGCCUUUAAUCCCAGCAGAGCCGGGCGGAUCUCUGUGAAGUUGAGGCCAACCUGGUCUACGGAGCGAGUUCCAGGACAGCCAGGGCUACAUAGUAAGACCCUGUCUGUAAGACAAAAAACAUAACAAAAACCCCCACAUAUAUAAUCGGCUUCCAUUCUCCCCUCCACUGUCUUCCCCCCAUCUCCAGGGUGAAAUGCAGAGUUGCAGUUGCUGACGGAAGGUCCUCAUGAUCUGCGGCCGCCACCCCUGGUCUCUUGAGGUCAUUCCUUCUCCCUCUCUGUUCCUGUCCCCACUCCAGUCUUACCGGUCUUUUUGAACAGGGUGAAGAUAUUUUACCGGAAGUUCUCUUUCCCAAGGUGUCCGCACAGCUCUUCCAUAUCUCCUGUAGACUCCGCUGUGGCUUCCCUGCUCAGUGAGGCCUUCAUCACGAGAUUCCCUGCUUACAGCUGUAACCCUGCACACACACACACACACACACACACACACACACACACACACACACACCUUCCUUUCUGGUACUGGCACUGUCUGUCAUGCUCUCAAGAGGAGAUUAUAAGAUUAUAAGCCCUUACGGGAGGUUUGCCGAGUCCACAGUGUGUGGAAUAGUGCCUUGCACACGGUAGAGGCCUAGUGAACUUGUUCACGGUGUGUAGAAUAGUACCUUGCACACGGUAGAGGCCCGGUGAACUUGCUGUGUGAGGGAAUGAGUUUAAAGGCCGUGGAAGCAGUUGGAGGAAGCGCUAGGUUGACCUGGGACCGAGUGGCAGUGGUCACUCGAGGAGGAAGAGAACACAGAAGCACACGUUCGGUUGUGUUCAGCUCUGAGCAGUGGAAAGGUGGUCUCUGUUUUGAACUUAAAUUUUCUCGCUUGCUUCGCCUGCCUCGUUGGCCCUUCCGAUUACUCAGGGAGGCUCAAUCUUCUCCUUAUUCUCUCUUCCGAAUGGAGUCUGUGGCAGUACCCUCUCCUUUCUGUAAAGAAGGGUCUGUAGAGCCUGUUUGGGAAAGUGAUAUCUUUUAAAAAGAGUGCGUAAGGGCAGUCGUUUUUAAAAGUCGAAUUACUGUUUCUUUUCACUAAUAGUAUUCUAGAUUCAUGAGAGAAGCCCAGGUCCCGGGAUCCCCUGAGAACUGGAGCCCAGGCCCCGGGUUCCCAGAGCCCAGGUCCCGGGUUCCCAGAGCCUAGGACCCAGGUUUCCCUGAGAACUGGAGCCCAGGCCCCAGGUUCCCAGAGCCUAGGGCCCGGGUUCCCGUGAGAACUGGAGACAGUCUGGUGCAGAGUAGACAUGCAUGCUCCUGAGAUGUUAUGAGCCAUCUGCCUCCAUGUUCCUUCUGCCUGUUCAGUUCUUGUGUCCAUUCAUCCUGGUGGAGCCUGCCUGCUCCUUGCUAGUCAGCAUGGCCCCAGAGGUUGUCAGCUGUGUGCAGAAUGUAUUUUUUAUCAGAUUCUGAAGUGUCGGCAUUGAUCGCCAUUGCCUAAUUGGGUCUUGAUGAUGGAUCGUUUCAUCCAUGAACACCCCCAAUAUUACAGUGUGAGUAUCACUUCCCUUGAAGCAAAGAGGGCUGGCGAACAAAGAGUUGAAGAGAUUUCUCCACACUCACAGCCAAUUUGAAGAGUUUAACCGAAAAUUCUUCUAUUUAACCAAGGUAGCCAGCGUCCCUGGUGAAGAUUUGUAAAUUUAACCUUUUAGUCUCUUAUUCGUUACUUCCCUUCAGUUCUUAAAGAAACAUCCCUCUACCCCAAGAGCAGAAAUCACCAUGAACAGAACUAUUAACUGUCUGGGAUAUUUAAGAAAAUAAACGGGAUGUUGAAGCGUAGGAAAGAAAGAAAAAAGAGAGUUUAAAAGAUAGAUAGCAGAGUGACAGAAUGUGUGUGAGCCAGUUCUCAAGUUACGAUGGCAAGAUCAGUUUCCCUUGCCUCUGCUAGCUCUCUCCCCACCUAAGGACUGUAUUGUAAUUGAAUGGCCAGGUCAUACUCAGUUGUAGUGUUUAAGCCAAGGUUUGAUCUCACAGUAACAGAGGAGCAUGGCCUUCCACGGAGAGGGUCCCGGAGUGAAGCAGUGAAAUACAUUCCUAGAUAUUGGCCGCUUUUGGUUUUAUGAUAACACAUAGAAUAUAUAAAUUAAUCCAUGCCAUUUGUCCCCCGGCCCAGAAAGCAACUGGGUUUUCCUGGCUGCUGGGGUAUUUCAUAGCUUGCUAACAAAGCUGCUGUGGAAACCAAUAGAAAUACGUUUUCGAGCCGGGCAGUGGUGGCGCAUGCCUUUAAUCCCAGCACUCGGGAGGCAGAGGCAGGCGGAUCUCUGUGAGUUCGAGGCCAGCCUGGGCUACCAAGUGAGUUCCAGGAAAGGUGCAAAGCUACACAGAAAAACCCUGUCUCGAAAAAAAAAAAAAAAAAAAAAAAAAAAAAAAAAGUUUUCAUUGCAAAAAAUUAAUUUUGUUCUAAGUAAUUUUUUUCACUAUCUAGGUUGCUAGAUGCUUCGUGUCUGCCUUCAGGGCUAGGAAAUAUGCUGUUUUGUUCUAAAUCUCUUCUCUGUCUUUGUAAAGCAGCUAGUGUUGACUUCACAAGUUGCAUGAAGGUUAUUAAAAAUGACUUACUAGGCAGUGAGAUUGCUCAGCGGGUGAAGACGCUCGGUGCUAAACCUGAUGACCGGAGUUCAGUCUCCAUGGCCCGUGGGACAGAAGAAGCGAACCGACUCCUGCAAGUUGUCCUCACACACUAAAAUAAAUAAAGAAAUAAAAAGAA